rnacentral:rRNA from 1 species
UACGUAGGGGGCAAGCGUGUCCGGAUUUAUUGGGCGUAAAGAGCGUGUAGGCGGCUUGGUAGGUCCGCUGUGAAAACUCGAGGCUCAACCUCGAGAUGUCGGCGGAAACCACUUGGCUAGAGUCCGGAAGAGGAGAGUGGAAUUCCUGGUGUAGCGGUGAAAUGCGCAGAUAUCAGGAAGAACACCUAUGGCGAAGGCAGCUCUCUGGGACGGUACUGACGCUGAGACGCGAAAGCGUGGGGAGCAAACAGG